rnacentral:lncRNA from 1 species
AUGAGGGAUAUGGAGAUGAGGAAUGGGAUUUCUUCAACAUUCAAGCAAGACAAGAACCCCUCCAUGUGCCCAGCCACCUCCCAGGAUACUCCUAGGAAAGACCAAAGAGGACCUCUUGAAAGGGCUGGCUCUCACUCCAGAUAAUUGGUAGGUAAACGCUCGGUGUCUUUAGGAUGUAAUGGGCCAGUGCAGGCAGAGCUGAACAGAGGAAAUUGCUUACUUCA